UACGGGGGGAGCAAGCGUUGUUCGGAUUUACUGGGCGUAAAGGGCGCGUAGGCGGCCUCCGCAAGUCAGUUGUGAAAUCUCCGAGCUUAACUCGGAAAGGUCAACUGAUACUGUGCGACUAGAGUGCAGAAGGGGCAACUGGAAUUCUCGGUGUAGCGGUGAAAUGCGUAGAUAUCGAGAGGAACACCUGCGGCGAAGGCGGCACUCUGGGCCGUGACUGACGCUGAGGAGCGAAAGCGUGGGGAGCAAACAGG
rnacentral:rRNA from 1 species